GCGGCCGCCGGCAUCUGCCCAACUCGCUCGCGCUUUCCGCCCAGGGUUCUGAAAAAUAGAAGAAAAAAGGACAGGGCUAGAGUGCAGUGGCGCCAUCUCAGCUAACUGCAACCUCUGCCUCCCAGGUUCAAGCGAUUCUCCUGCCUCAACCUCCCGAGUAGCUGGGAAUACAGCUGCACGCUUCCAUUCCCAGCCCCAGCCAGAGAAGAGGAGCCAACUCCUCACGGCAGAUCCCUUGAUAGAGGAGGAUGAACCGAAUCCAUGACCCUCCAGACCCGGGAAGCGACGCACCCUAGGCCUUGGCACCGCAAAGCCCGUGCUGAGCGCACGGACGGGUGCUGCCCGGGACUCGGCCAGGAGGGCGCCCAUGCCAACGCCUCUUGCAGGAUUAGUGCCUUCGGUUGGCAAAAGGCGGAUAAAGGAAGAGCGAAACCACAUCAGGAAGCUAAGGGUGGUCCACGCUCCCUGUCCUUUUACUUCCCGCGCCAAAGGCACAGUGAGGCUUGCUUAGAAAAGUCCAUCCCGCGAUUGG
rnacentral:lncRNA from 1 species